GGAGAGGUGUCCGAGUGGCCGAAGGAGCACGCUUGGAAAGCGUGUGUGUCGCAAGGCACCGAGGGUUCGAAUCCCUCCCUCUCCGCCA
rnacentral:tRNA from 2 species